UACGAAGGGUGCAAGCGUUACUCGGAAUUACUGGGCGUAAAGCGUGCGUAGGUGGUGGUUUAAGUCAGAUGUGAAAGCCCUGGGCUCAACCUGGGAACUGCAUUUGAUACUGGAUCGCUAGAGUGCGGUAGAGGAUAGUGGAAUUCCCGGUGUAGCAGUGAAAUGCGUAGAGAUCGGGAGGAACACCAGUGGCGAAGGCGACUAUCUGGACCAGCACUGACACUGAGGCACGAAAGCGUGGGGAGCAAACAGG
rnacentral:rRNA from 1 species